rnacentral:rRNA from 1 species
UACGUAGGGGGCGAGCGUUAUCCGGAUUUACUGGGCAUAAAGCGCGUGUAGGCUGUUUCUCAAGUCAGUUGUUAAAGGCUGCGGCUCAACCGCAGUAUGCAAUUGAAACUGAGUUACUAGAGAACAGGAGAGGAAAGCGGAACUCAUGGUGUAGCGGUGAAAUGCGUAGAUAUCAUGAGGAACACCAGUUGCGAAGGCGGCUUUCUGGCCUGAUUCUGACGCUGAGAUGCGAAAGCGUGGGGAGCGAACGGG